CCAAUAUCUGAUUCCUCUCAAAUUGAAUAUUUCAUGCAAGAACAUCUACAGAAAUUCAACUCCAAUACACAGCUUUCUAAUCGAGUUUAAUUUGGAACAGAACAUUGAAGACAAACAAGGCAUUGAUCUGAACAGAACAAUGAAGACAAAUAAGGCAUUGAUCUUCCAAUCCUAGCAAGGAAGUCGAAAAAACAAAACAUACCCACAUCUAAAAUCAUUCAGAAUUAAACAUUUGGAUCCAUGGACCAGCAAAGAAAUCGCAAGACCAGUUGGAUUCUAAAGCAAACCCAUGUAUCCUAUAUGGAAAAAAAUAUAACACUGACAAACAAUUCCACCUUGUAAUCAAUAACUGAUUAAUUAAAACCCUCAAGUAUUGAAAUAGAAACUGUCAAGAGCAAAAAGAAGGAAGAGCAGAAGAUGGCCUUGAGACCCAAGUGGACAAAUUUUCAACAAUCAAAUAGCCAAACUUCCUGAAGUGGGGAUAGGCAUUUAUGCAGCGAUAGAUGGGACUGAAAGCAUUGGCAGUGCCGGAGGGGAAUACCUUGAAACAAAGCUGAGAAUGCUCUAAUAUUCUACAACAGCAAUGCCAAAAAAGAAUCCUUCUAAAUUUGGGACUGACAUGCAUCAGAGGAAAAGCCUAUAGAGGCAGCGGGCAAAUCAUCAAUGAAAUUGAAGACUCACAAAGUUGCAGAGUCGCAGAGCAAAGAACAAAGAGGAGAGAAAUUGAAAGUGACGAUAGGAGAGGAAAUUUUCAUUUCCAAAGAGCAAAGGCCAAAGGUGGCUUUUCAUUUACAAGAAGCCAUAAGAACCACAAUAACCGUUUCAGUUCAGUUUGAUUUUUCGAACUUUUCUUUUAUAAUACAAACAGAACAAACAAAUAAUAC
rnacentral:lncRNA from 1 species